AAGAAGUGCUAGUGUUAGAGGGUCUCCGCCCUUUAGUGCUGAAGUUAACGCAUUAAGCACUCCGCCUGGGGAGUACGGCCGCAAGGCUGAAACUCAAAGGAAUUGACGGGGGCCCGCACAAGCGGUGGAGCAUGUGGUUUAAUUCGAAGCAACGCGAAGAACCUUACCAGGUCUUGACAUCCUCUGAAAACCCUAGAGAUAGGGCUUCUCCUUCGGGAGCAGAGUGACAGGUGGUGCAUGGUUGUCGUCAGCUCGUGUCGUGAGAUGUUGGGUUAAGUCCCGCAACGAGCGCAACCCUUGAUCUUAGUUGCCAUCAUUAAGUUGGGCACUCUAAGGUGACUGCCGGUGACAAACCGGAGGAAGGUGGGGAUGACGUCAAAUCCUCAUGCCCCUUAUGACCUGGGCUACACACGUGCUACAAUGGACGGUACAAAUAGUUGCACGACCGCGAGGUGGAGCUCAUCUCAUAAAACCGUUCUCAGUUCGGAUUGUAGGCUGCCACUCGCCUACAU
rnacentral:rRNA from 2 species